AAAGGGGCUGAAAACUGCUGCUGCCAGCUACUGUUUAGUGCAGGGACUGAUUUGUGAACCUGCAGGGACUGAACUGCGAACUGCUGGUGUAAGGUACCGGACUUCUAAAACUAUGAAGUUACGGUGUACAUUUAAAUGGUUCCGGUGAGGUUGCAGUGGGAUGUAACAUACCGGAUUUUAAAUAUAAAAGUGAAAAUAAAUAAAAAUAGUAUGAGAUACUAUUUUUAUUGGAUUUAGAGAAGUGAAAUAUAGGUUGGGAAUGACCUGUGCUGAAAUCGGAGCGAAAACAGAAUAUUUAAAAUUUUCUGUGUGAAACGGGACAGAUAAAUUAGUAGAAAAUGCACAAUGUCAGAAAAUUAUGAAAAUUGGAGGAUAUGUCAGAAUUAUUUUUAUGAGGCUAAAUUUAAAGUUUCAUGCCAUUCUGACACCCAGAAAGUGGAAAAUAAAAUCCGACAGUUAUCUGAUAAAGAUUACAGUUCGGUACAGCUUUCAGUGACCAAACGGGGUUGAAACUGAAAUAUUAACAUUUCUUUGGACUCGUUAAAUAAAACCAAACAUGACUGUCAAAUUUGAGGUCAAAUGGAUAUUCAGGGAGCUCCGGCGAAAGAUAUCAGAUUUCGAGCUGCCUAGAGUUGAAUAGUGU
rnacentral:lncRNA from 1 species